GCGGCCUUGGUGCGUGUGUGUGCAUGUGAACAUUGUUGCGUCUCUUAAUUGCUCAGUAUCGCGCCUGUACACUGGCAAUUCUCCAAGAUGUUUGGUUUCGCGAUGAUAAUUAAAAAUUAAUAGUCCCGGUAAGUGCAUGUAAGUACAUCAAUCCGAAGGAUACAGGCAAUUUUGAUCCUCACAAGUGGUACCGGGUGUUCUGGAAGGAUAACACACACUGCGGCCACUAUCACGCUCAAGUGAUUAAGCUUUACGGCACCGAGGAUGAUGCAAGGAAUGCAACAGAAAAAACGACCAUCCAUUACGCAGACCCGAUUGCGACUCCUCCGAUGGCUGCAGUUAAAAUGAAGUGGACAAUGAGUCGUUUAAAAACAAAGAACCUUGUCCCUUUGCGGGUGUUGCAGCACAAGCCCUCAAAAACAGAGGCGACUUGC